rnacentral:lncRNA from 1 species
GCAAAAUUACUUGAGCUGAAGCAAAGAAAAGCCACAGUGAUGGUAGAGCCUAGAAAACAGUAACUUGAUUGCUUUGAUUAAAGUGUGUGGAAAAUUACUCAUAAGAUUAGUGGGAGAGGUGCAUUUAGAUUUAAAUUCCAUCAAAACGAAACAAAACCAGCCUUUAAAAGUCAUCCAUGCUGAUUAACAUUUACAGAAUUCUUCUACAUUAGCAGAAAUCUUAUUUGAAUCUAAGGACUUCAUUUUGGACUUAUCUCCUGAAGUGUAUAUUAAUUGAAGGCUAGAAACUGAGAUUUGACUUGUCAACCAAAAAUUACACUGGAAACACAGAUCUACUGAUAGAAACUGGACAAGAACUAUGCCUGAGGAACCUCAACUAAACCUGGACCUGAUUUAGAUGAAGAGAUCCUGGACCUCAAAAUUGAAUUUUGUGCCAUAAUGGGCUGAGGUCUUUUGGAGGUUUUUAGAUGGAGUGAGCAUAAUUUGGAUGUGGAACGAAUAGAAAUAACUUGUGGUCAGAAGGUGAAAGGUUAAAAAAAAUGGCUGCAAAAAUUCAAGUAAAAAUUUUUAAAAAAUUGAAAGAAAGUUGGGUUACAGAUUCCCUCACCUUGAAUCUGAGUGAGUUUGUGAUUAUAUUUUUACAAUAUGGUAGAAAUGAUGCUAUGUAACAUCUGAGGUGACACGUAAAUAAGAAAGACAAAAAUAUGCAGUGUUCAUAUUGUUCACUGGAACACCAAAUGAGAUGUGUGACUACCAGGAGGCCAUCAUGCUGUGAGUAAGCCCAAGACAAAUGGAAAGGCAAUGAGCAGACCAUUUGGUCUAUGGUCUCAGCUGACUCCAGCCUUUGCAUCUCCCCAGCUAAGACACUAAAUAUGUUUGUGAAGGAGGUUCCAGAUGAUUCCAACUCUCAUCUGUCAAGUUGAAACCAAUUUCACAAAACUUCUAUACUAAGAUUUAAUAUUUUGAAUUUUAAGUAACUGUUUACCUUUAAAAAAAU